rnacentral:rRNA from 1 species
CCUACGGGCGGCAGCAGUAGGGAAUCUUUCACAAUGGGCGAAAGCCUGAUGGAGCAACGCCGCGUGCAGGAUGAAGGCCUUCGGGUUGUAAACUGCUUUUAUAAGCGAGAAAUAUGAUGGUAACUUAUGAAUAAGGAUCGGCUAACUACGUGCCAGCAGCCGCGGUCAUACGUAGGAUCCGAGCAUUAUCCGGAGUGACUGGGUGUAAAGAGUUGCGUAGGUGGCAUAAUAAGUAGCUAGUGGAAUCUGGUGGCUCAACCAUUCAGACUAUUAGCUAAACUGUUAAGCUCGAGACCGUUAGGGGUAACUGGAAUUUCUAGUGUAGGAGUGAAAUGCGUAGAUAUUAGAAGGAACACCAAUAGCGUAGGCAGGUUACUGGGACGGUUCUGACACUAAGGCACAAAAGCGUAGGGAGCAAACGGGAUUAGAUACCCGUGUAGUC